CAUGACUAUAAAUAAAUAUUUAAUGUGAAAAUAAAGAAAUAAAUAUCUUAUGUCAAAAUACUUUACUAAACAUAACAUUUUUAAGUAAAACUAAAUUUAAAAUAUUUGAUUCGUCAUUCGACCUUCCACGUUCCUCCGACCUUUAAAACCUGAAAAUAUUAAGUAUGGGAUGAGCAUACAGGAUACACUCAGUGUGAGAACAUGCAAUCAUUGUCCACGUUAAUAAAAUGAAAACACAUAUGGUCAAAUAUUCAUAACUGAAAGUCGCACGGUGGCAUAUCAAGGACCUUUCCGUCCUGGACCGAUUUAGCCGGCCCCUGGUGACUGGUUGCAACCAUAACUUUAACAUGUAUAUCGCUUUGUGGCAUACCAAGGAUCUUUACCAUCCUGGACCCAUUCAACGGCUCCUAGCGAUAUUAUUUAAUGUAACUCACAUAUGGUAAACGCAUAAUAUUAAAAUGGACAAAGAUUAACCACAACAUGUACUGAAAUAAAUCCUACACCUGAAACUUGAACUUUGAAAUUUAACUGCAGGAAUUAAAGUUCACGUCCUAGUCGCGUCGUACCUAGUCAGACAAAUUCAAAUAAUAACAUAUAAGGGCCUAAUUAAACUUUAAAAUAAUAAUAAUAAUAAUAAUAAUAAUAAUACUAGUUUAAAUCAUAAAACCAUUUAAAAUCAUUGGUCUAAUAAAUUAUAAAAGAGAUUUUCUUAUAAAAGAUUUGAGCUCAUUAUUUAAUUAAAAUUAAGUUCAAAUUAAUAAUCUAAGCUCAAAUAUAAUAUUAAUGACACUUUUUGUAAAAUGACACUCUUUGUAAAAUAAUAUGCAAAUGCAAGCCAUUUAAUAAAAGGGCUCAUCGACGAGCCCUUUUAUUGGUCGAUGUUCGCUUGUUCGUUGUGGGCCGCAUUGUUUGCUCGUAACGUCCUGUUGUUCAAACAGAAGAUCCUCAGCCAUGGCUAAUGUUUUGACAUUGCCCAAAAAGCUGUUUGGGUUAAAAUGCUAUUUUCUGCUAGAAUGCCCAUUGCAUCUUCUGACUUUAUGGCUUGUGCUAGUGAUUGCAUCAAACUUAACUGUGAUGCAGCAGUGUUGACCGACUCUGGAGUGGGGAUUGGGGUGGUCUUUUUCUAACUUUGAUGGGAAUGUUGUGUGGUGUGGCUAUAGGUUUUUUAAGGGAACGAUUUCUGUUGAAAUGGGUGAGGGAUGGCAAUUCGUGAGGGUCUCUUGGUGGCUAAGAAUAAAGGAUUCAAAGGCUUGAUGGUUGAGAGUGAUUGCAGUAGCUUAUUUGCAAAACUCUGAUUCUCAUGUUGUACGACAAACUGCAUUGUCCCAUUCCGGGAAGGAAUGGCCAAGAAGAUAGUAAAAUCUAGAAUUUAAUUUUUCUAUAAAAAGAAUUUAGAAAAGUUUCUACCGUGUGCGUGUUAAUAGAAUUACACUUUAAUUUAAUAGUUGGGGGCUAUACAAAAGAAAGAAUUUAAUUUAAUAUGGGGCCAUGAAUAAUAGGGCAAAAUAGUAAUUUUAUAAUUAUUUUUAUUAUUAUAUUAUAUGGGGCUUCUCUUUUACUCACGCAGACCUGCUCAAACCCUCUCUUUCCCUUCACCCCCUCUCUCAGCCUUCUCUCUCCCUCUCUACCUCUCCGGCGAGUGUCGCCGGCUCUCGCCGCUUCCGGUGCGGCGAGGCUGACGCAUCUUCUCCCCUUCCGCUUUCUUCCCUCUCCUUCCUACAUUUAAUUCCCCAAAUUCUAAAAUCAAUUCAACCUAGGGUUUUCAAUCUCCCCCAUCAAUUUUACUCCUCUGGAGAAUCCCGGCGAAUAACGUCGCCGCCGCCCCAGCUCGUCGGAUUUCCGCUCCUCCGUCGUUCUUCCUGCCUCAGGAAUCGAUGAUUCAAGGGAUCUCCAGUUCGUCUACUGCUCAAGAUCCAAUUUUUAUAUGUUAAAAACCUAUUUUCCUUUAUUGCUUAUUGUAAAAUUGAGAUUUUGAUGGUGAGGAAACAAUACUGUAUCGUUACUAUGCUUAUGUGUAGCUAUGUCUUUUCUGCUGUUCUUGAUUGUUCCUUUUAUACACAAGGAAUUGAUUGAAUUGUAUACAAGAAAA